rnacentral:lncRNA from 1 species
CUCUGAAGGAGGAAGCCACGAUGUCAGCUGUCUGUUCCCUUUGUCAUCACUGCUAGACAGUGGGUGUCUGCGCUGGGCUAUUUGCUGAUUUAUUUGUUCAAUGCUGGUCUCCCACACUAGACCAUGAGCAGGAAGGAGAGGCAGCAUGCAACUGUGCUCGUUGUCUACACAGGGCCUAGCACUGGGCCUGGGCCAGGGCAGGCACCUGGGAGGUAUGUGCUGAAUAAAUGAAUGGAUGGAUGGGUGGAUGGAUGGGUGGAUGGAUGAGUGGAUGGAUGGAUGGAUGGAUGAGUGGAUGGAUGGAUGGAUGGAUGGAUGGAUGGAUGGAUGGAUGGAUGAGGAUAUAAGUAUUGGCAGGCUGGUGGCAGCUUGCAGAAGGAGAGCACAUUAUCUAUAAACACAUUGCCCCGAUUUAUUUAACAUUGUAGUCACUCCAAAUCUUGGUUACCCUCACCUGAAUUUUCUCUUUUGGGGGAAGUUUUACACAACCACCCCAGUUUCCCUAAAUGCCCCCUCCCUGGAUUCCUGCAGCACUUGAAUUUAGGCUUCUGAGCACUGGUAUCUCCCCAAAUAGAUGAGACUCCCCAUGUGGGCAGCAGCCCUGCCUUCUCCUUCAUGUUUGUCCACAGUGCUUGGGUGAGAUCUGGACAUGUAGCCCACACUCUGUUGAAACCUGCCCAUGGCAUGCAGCUGAGGGGCCCUGCCUUCUCCUUGUCCUCAUUUAUUGCCAUCAGUCAACCACCAAUCAUCCCACAUCGACCCCAGAGGCAUUGGUCUUGGGGUCUCCCUGGUGCGGCAAUGUGGGCUGCCUUCCCAGCCUUGUCCAGGUGGCAGGACUUCUGCUGCUGACAACAGGGCUGUGAUACUCAGCUCCCCAAGGCUGAACUGGAUGACUAAGAGUCCUAAUGAUUCUGGUAUUUUUUCAGGACCUGUCUCCAAAGGCAGGAGGACAUUUAAAAAUGCAUGGGUCUCUGCUAGGUGACACAUCCUGCUUAGGAGUCUGCUGGCCUCCAGUCUGGGACAACAGAGCACUUCAAAUAGGCACCUGUGUUCAUCGCGGUGCUUUCUGUCCACACAGGGCCUUGGUUUCUGAGGCUGAGAGAGGAUAAGCUAAGCAAGGGGCAGAACAGGACACCAACCAUCUCCAGACCCCAGUACAACACAGAUGGCAGGCCAAAGAGGGACUGUGUCGUCUGAUUCAAGAGUACAGACUACACAGCCAGAAUAAUCGGGGCCUGGCUUGGACUCUCUUUAAAUAUUCAUUCCUCAUCUGUAAAAUGAGCAUAUGAGUCCCACUUCACCAGACUGUAGGACAUACGUGAAGGACUCUGCAGUGUCUGGAACAUAUUUAUGGCCCCUGAAAUAAACAGUUAUUGAUGACAGAGAUGAAAAGAAGAAGAUCCAAUGGAGUAAUCUUCAAGGCCUGCUUCAAGUCUUGCCUUGAUUGCUGCAAGAGAGAAGGUCACCUAUCUCCCCAGGUAGCCUCUCUCACCCUGACAAUGUAUCUUCACAGGUAAGGGACAAAGACAAGACUAGAAAUCAUCCCUCUGCCCACCUCAAGACAAAUGCAGAUCUGACUUCUUCUUCCUCUACUCUAUGUUUACUUUAUCUUAUGUAAAAUACAAGAUUUACUGAGCAGGAGCCGAAUGCA